CCCCGCAACCUAGCCAACACAUUCCGUCGAACAUCACCAUGGCCACAGUCCGGGGACUGCAAAACGAGGGGGGAAUAGGGAAAACACGGCGGAGCAGAUUGGUUAGGUUACAAGUUACAAGUGCCGCACGAGUGCGGGGGGUGUCCGUCAAAGCCGGGAGGCCAUGGACUAUAUGUAAUGAAAGUUGAUCACACCGUACGACCGACGGCGGUUUGGGUCCUGCCAACUAGACCCCUCCUCAUCCAGUCACCCAACAUCCGUAGAGACAGUUCAGCCACCACCACCAUCUCAGCAUGCGAAACUUAGUCCAUCAACUAGACCUCAUCUCCACACCUCAGCAGCGUUAGUAAACCUAGACCUCCCGAACAAUGUCGGGGGUCUGACCAGGAAUCGAACCCGAAACCUUCAGAUACACGAAAGCGCCACCAGACCAGACCGGUUAGGAGGGCGGGUUUCAGGGCAUGAGGGGGCACCCCUAAAACCUAGCAGACACGUUCACUCAAACAUCAUCAUGGCCGCAGUCCGGGGACUGCAAAACGAGGGGGGAAGGGGGAAAACACUGUGGUUAGGAGGGCGGGUUGGUUAGGAGGGCGGGUUUUAGGGUAUGACGGGGCCGCCCCGCAACCCAGCCGACACAUUCGGUUGAACAUCACCAUGGCCGCAGUCCGGGGACUGCAAAACGAGGGGGGAAUAGGGAAAACACGGCGGAGCAGAUUGGUUAGGAGGGCGGGUUUCAGGGCAUGACGGGGCCCCCCCCCACAACCUAGCCGACACAUUCGAUCGAACGUCACCAUGGCCGCAGUCCGGGGACUGCAAAACGAGGGGGGAAGGGGGAAAACACUGUGCGGGGCGGGUUGGUUAGGAGGGCGGGUUUUAGGGAAUGACGGGGGCCCCCCGCAACCCAGCCGACACAUUCGGUUGAACAUCACCAUGGCCGCAGUCCGGGGACUGCAAAACGAGGGGGGAAUAGGGAAAACACGGCGGGGCGGAUUGGUUAGGAGGGCGGGUUUCAGGGCAUGACGGGGGCCCCCCCCACAACCAGCCGACACAUUCGAUCGAACGUCACCAUGGCCGCAGUCCGGGGACUGCAAAAGGAGGGGGGAAUAGGGAAAAUGCAGCGGGGCCGAUUGGUUAGGAGGGCGGGUUUCAGGGCAUGACGGGGCCCCCCCAUAACCUAGCUGACACAUUCAGUCGAACAUCAUCAUGGCCGCAGUCCAGGGACUGCAAAAUGAGGGGGGAAUGGGGAAAACACGGCGGGGUGGGUUGGUUAGGAGGGCGGGUUUCAGGGCAUGAGGGGGCCCCCCUAAAACCUAGCCGACACGUUCGCUCAAACAUCAUCAUGGCCGCAGUCCGGGGACUGCAAAACGAGGGGGGAAGGGGGAAAACACGGCGGGGCGGGUUGGUUAGGAGGGCGGGUUUCAGGGCAUGACGGGGCCCCCCGCAACCUAGCCGACACAUUCCGUCGAACAUCACCAUGGCCACAGUCCGGGGACUGCAAAAGGAGGGGGGAAUAGGGAAAAUGCAGCGGGGCCGAUUGGUUAGGAGGGCGGGUUUCAGGGCAUGACGGGGCCCCCCCAUAACCUAGCUGACACAUUCAGUCGAACAUCAUCAUGGCCGCAGUCCAGGGACUGCAAAAUGAGGGGGGAAUAAGGAAAA
rnacentral:lncRNA from 1 species